rnacentral:rRNA from 1 species
AGCCUGAUGCAGCGACGCCGCGUGAGGGAUGACGGCCUUCGGGUUGUAAACCUCUUUCAGCAGGGACGAAGCGCAAGUGACGGUACCUGUAGAAGAAGGACCGGCCAACUACGUGCCAGCAGCCGCGGUAAUACGUAGGGUCCGAGCGUUGUCCGGAAUUACUGGGCGUAAAGAGCUCGUAGGUGGUUUGUCGCGUUGUUCGUGAAAACUCACAGCUUAACUGUGGGCGUGCGGGCGAUACGGGCAGACUUGAGUACUGCAGGGGAGACUGGAAUUCCUGGUGUAGCGGUGGAAUGCGCAGAUAUCAGGAGGAACACCGGUGGCGAAGGCGGGUCUCUGGGCAGUAACUGACGCUGAGGAGCGAAAGCGUGGGGAGCGAACAGGAUUAGAUACCCUGGUAGUCCACGCCGUAAACGGUGGGUACUAGGUGUGGGUUUCCUUCCUUGGGAUCCGUGCCGUAGCUAACGCAUUAAGUACCCCGCCUGGGGAGUACGGCCGCAAGGCUAAAACUCAAAGAAAUUGACGGGGGCCCGCACAAGCGGCGGAGCAUGUGGAUUAAUUCGAUGCAACGCGAAGAACCUUACCUGGGUUUGACAUGCACAGGACGUGCCUAGAGAUAGGUAUUCCCUUGUG